rnacentral:rRNA from 1 species
UAGGGAAUCUUCCGCAAUGGGCGAAAGCCUGACGGAGCAACGCCGCGUGAGUGAUGAAGGUCUUCGGAUCGUAAAACUCUGUUAUUAGGGAAGAACAAAUGUGUAAGUAACUAUGCACGUCUUGACGGUACCUAAUCAGAAAGCCACGGCUAACUACGUGCCAGCAGCCGCGGUAAUACGUAGGUGGCAAGCGUUAUCCGGAAUUAUUGGGCGUAAAGCGCGCGUAGGCGGUUUUUUAAGUCUGAUGUGAAAGCCCACGGCUCAACCGUGGAGGGUCAUUGGAAACUGGAAAACUUGAGUGCAGAAGAGGAAAGUGGAAUUCCAUGUGUAGCGGUGAAAUGCGCAGGGAUAUGGAGGAACACCAGUGGCGAAGGCGACGUUCUGGUCUGUAACUGACGCUGAUGUGCGAAAGCGUGGGGAUCAAACAGG